UUCAAUUAUCCUUCGAAAGUGAAAUGUGGGAGUUAUAUUCAGGGGCGGAUCCAAGGGAAGGGGUGAUAGGGGUGACCAUCCUUCUCCAUUCACUCGGCAAUAUACUCUUAGUUGCAUUACACUCCUAGUGUGAUUUAUUAAACUUGUCAUAAAUGCGUGUCUUAUAUGCGUUUUCUAAAUCGCCUUCUCCGUUAUCUUGUCCUGGAUUCGCUUAUGGUUAU